UAAAGUGACAUAAUAACUUUAUUACACAACCUGCCAUAUCAUAUGAUACGACCAUUUUGGGAACAUUUACACACACAGAAUACAUUCAAAAAAUAUUUUAUUAUGCACAUAUGUGAUAAUUUAUGAACAGAAAUGAUUUGGUCAUACAUUUUUGUAAUUCAUAGUCAUUCCCAACAGCCAUAACAGACACAAAAAUUCAAUGCAUCACAUUAUGUGGUUCAGAUACAGCUGCCUGUGAUUAUGCACUUGGUCAGUAGGUGGUUUCGUGAGCACAUGAAGCUUCGAGAAAUGAACCCUUUCUCGAACCAAUUGGCUGAAGUGGUUCGAUGCCUCAUGAAGCUUCAUCUCACCAUCACUACCUGUAACCCAUUUGUAAACAAACUCCCCCGGUGAAUCGAGCCCGUCCGAGCUAGAAGAACAUUUGUUCGAGAUGCAAAUGACGGUGGCCUUAAGGGACACAACAACUCUGCCGGUGUUCUAAUGACAGCGACCAGAACUCGGUUAGGAGCAGCGGACCAAACACACGUCUGUGUCGCCGUCUCCAUUAGCGGCUCGUUGCAGAGUGAGAUGGCAGCUGGGAGGAAGGAGCUCCUGGAGAGGAUCUGGAUCCGUCUCUAACUGAAAGUGCUCGACCGGGAGGACCCUGUUCUCCACCACCAUGCACCUAAUGGUUCCAGGAUGGUUCCCAGUUAUGAGGUGCCCUUGUCAUUUCAUAAUUUCCUUUUUGAUAUGUGAUAUCUCGAAUGUUUCAUUGAUCUCUUCAGGCCAACAGUAUGUACCUGACAAUACUCUCUGAGCCGGACCUGUUUGUUGCAAAGUAAAAACACAAAUGUACCUUUGUAGUUAUUUUCAAUAGGGUUCUUUAUUUUGUUAUCGUCGAUGCCUCUUCAGUGUUGGUAAGUUCUAUCAUUUUGAAAUAAGCACCCGCAGUGUUAUACAAAUGAUAAUAAUGAUAUUAAUUAAAUUACCUGUUUUCCCCCCUAUAUUACAGGCAUGUUUUGUUCCCUUGCACCUACAUCAGUCUAUAAUGAUGCAUAAAUUACUUUAUGUUCUGGUACGCGAUCAGUAAAGAUAACAAUUGUUUAUGAGUAUAUUUGAAUAAAAUUGGGAACAAUCAUACUGCA